GUGUGUAACAUAACAGUAGAAGGCAAAACAAGCCCGAUCCUGUCUGCUCUCGGAAGCUAAGCAGGGUCGGGCCUAGUUAGUACUUGGGUGGGAGACCGCCUAGGAAGACCAGGUGCUGUAGGCA
rnacentral:rRNA from 1 species